CACCGCGGUUAAACGAGGGACCCAAGUCGUUAGUCACCGGCGUAAAGAGUGGUUAAGAUAAGACAAAACUAAAGCCGAAUGCCUUCCAGGCUGUCAUAUGCUCCCGAAAAGUAAGAAGCUCAACUACGAAAGUGGCUUUACCCAAUCUGAACCCACGAAAGCUAGGGCA
rnacentral:rRNA from 1 species